rnacentral:rRNA from 1 species
GUGCCAGCCGCCGCGGUAAUACCGGCAGCCCGAGUGAUGACCGAUCUUGUUGGGCCUAAAGCGUCCGUAGCUGGCUACGCAAGUCCGUCGGGAAAUCCACUCGCCCAACGAGUGGGCGUCCGACGGAAACUGCAUAGCUUGGGACUGGAAGGCUCGAAGGGUACGUGCGGGGUAGGAGUGAAAUCCCAUAAUCCCGCACGGACCACCGAUGGCGAAAGCAUCUCGAGAAAACGGAUCCGACAGUGAGGGACGAAAGCUAGGGUCUAGAACCGGAUUAGAAACCCCAGUAGUCC